GGGGUAACAGGCAAUAUCUGUCGAAGGAUUGAAGAAUUCCCUACAGACAGACUACAUACAAAAAAUUCUUGGUCUAGGUAUCUGUGCUGACACAAUGAUUGGUGAUGCUAUGAGGAGAGGCAUCUCAGGUGGUCAAAAGAAAAGAUUGACUACAGGUGAGAUGAUUGUUGGGCCGACUAAGGCGUUCUUUAUGGAUGAAAUUACGAAUGGCUUGGACAGUUCUACUUCAUUUCAGAUUGUUUCAUGUGUUCAACCGUUGGUCCAUGUAACAGAUGCAUCUGCAUUGAUUUUUUUGAGAGCUGUGGUUUUAGGUGUCCUAAGAGGAAGGGAAUAGCUGACUUUCUACAGGAGUUACAGGUUAUUUCACAAAAAUGUAUAUAGCUUCUUCUGGGAAUCUGGGAUAGUUAACAAAACAGUAGCUACGAAACUUUAUGUUGGUCAUUUUAGCUCUGUAACAAUGACUGUAUAUAUGCGUACUCGGAUGCAUGUGUACAUUCUUCAUGCUAAUUAUUAUUUGAACGCCCUGUUCUAUGGUCUUAUCGUGCUUCUUACUGACGGAUUUCCAGAAGUGUCUGACUAUCAUGAGACUUCCUGUUUUCUUCAAACAGAGAGACCUCUAUUUCUAUCCCGCUUGGGCCUAUGCAAUCCCCGCCACUAUCAUGAAAAUCCCAUUGUCUAUUUUGCUUGCUACUCUCUGGACAUCACUUACUAUACCAUUGGAUAUGCUCCAGAAGUUGAAAGUGCUUUUCGGAGUUACAAGAGAUUAAGUGGACAAUCUAAGGGAACUAAAUUAACAUGGA